AGCAAACUAUUAGCUUUAUUGAUGUUGUUGGAAUGAUCAGCUGUACAUCAAUAUCAUGCACAAGAUUUAGGGACGCCAAUACCCCCAUCGGCCAGUGUUACAUGGAAACACUACAGCAGCGAUGACAGCCAUUCGUAACGAUGGAGACAGUCAAAACAGCUGUGAAAGGCCCUUAAUCCAGCUGUACAGGGUGACGGACAAACAGCACAGAACUGAAACCAUCCUGUCCCUUACAAGUUACAUCUGCUACAUACUAAUUAAAGUGAUUCCAUUCCUUAAACCUCUCCCUUUUGUCUUAAGGUACAGAACUAUUUGUUUCAUCAUUAGUCAGCAAGCUAUUGUCAUAUACUAUCAAAUUCGACAUCCGUGCCAAGACUUGCUAUUUAAAAAAGACACAAAACACAGAAAAUGUAAAAUAAACUCAAUGAUAUGCAAAAGGGCACUAUGGAAAGCCUAUGGUGCUCCUUAUACUCUUGUCUGAUGUCGCCGGUGUGGUGUCAUGAGGCAUCCAGGUAUCGUGAGACAUCCAGGUAUUGUGAGACAUCCAGGUAUUGUGAGACAUCCAGGUAUUGUGAGACAUCCAGGUAUUGUGAGGCAUCCAGGUAUCGUGAGACAUCCAGGUAUUGUGAGACAUCCAGGUAUUGUGAGACAUCCAGGUAUUGUGAGACAUCCAGGUAUUGUGAGACAUCCAGGUAUUGUGAGACAUCCAGGUAUUGUGAGACAUCCAGGUAUCGUGAGACAUCCAGGUAUUGUGAGACAUCCAGGUAUUGUGAGACAUCCAGGUAUUGUGAGACAUCCAGGUAUUGUGAGACAUCCAGGUAUUGUGAGACAUCCAGGUAUUGUGAGACAUCCAGGUAUUGUGAGACAUCCAGGUAUCGUGAGACAUCCAGGUAUUGUGAGACAUCCAGGUAUCGUGAGACAUCCAGGUAUUGUGAGACAUCCAGGUAUUGUGAGACAUCCAGGUAUUGUGAGACAUCCAGGUAUUGUGAGACAUCCAGGUAUCGUGAGACUUCCAGGUAUUGUGAGACAUCCAGGUAUCGUGAGACAUCCAGGUAUUGUGAGACAUCCAGGUAUUGUGAAUUUCGACCCAGUACCGUGUCUUUCGUUGUCUGCUUAUCAGGAUCUGUCCCACCCAAGUUUAUAUUUUCCACUAUAAAAGCAAAUAAUGAAGCAUGUAUGUAUAUAACUAGGAUGUAAACAAUUGCCCUUCUUCUUCUUCUUGUGACCUGUCCCACUUUUGCAUUGCUUUUUGGGUCCUCCUUGGUACCUUUUUAUACUUAAUUAAGAUGCUUCACUUAGUCACUCUAUGGUAGUAAACUUUGGGCUCCAUGCUGCGAAAAUUAGGAUGGGACGUCUCAUGAUACUGGAUGGCAGAUGACACCACAUCGGCAUCGCCAUACCACCACCA